AACCUGCUGAGGAGUCCCAUACCAGGACGAAACGGCCGUCCAGUGC
rnacentral:hammerhead_ribozyme from 1 species